GUGGUAUUAGUUCCGACGUGCCAUUGAAAAUCGCGGCUGGACGUGUAAAAGGAAAGGAGAAGGUCAACAAGGCUAAGGAGGCCAUCCGAUCGCAGGAUUUAAACGUUGAAACGACACGUUUAAGGAAAGCUAGUCCUGCUAUGCGAUCUCCUUUCAACGAGCGUGCUGUAAGGCUUACUGCCAAGGCUAACGGCAAUGACAAGGAACUAUAUUUCUGGGUUCUGAGCACAGCGGAGACGCAUAAAUCGAUCAGGGAUGCAAUUGUUUACGAAGACUCCUACAAACAAACAGUGAAGUCCGAGUUCCUUUCACUGGCACCAUUUAAACCUGUC